CAGUCGCCGCGGGAAUACGUAGGGUGCAAGCGUUAAUCGGAAUUACUGGGCGUAAAGCGUGCGCAGGCGGUUUGUUAAGACAGAUGUGAAAUCCCCGGGCUCAACCUGGGAACUGCAUUUGUGACUGGCAAGCUAGAGUCUGGCAGAGGGGGGUGGAAUUCCGCGUGUAGCAGUGAAAUGCGUAGAUAUGCGGAGGAACACCGAUGGCGAAGGCAGCCCCCUGGGCCAACACUGACGCUCAUGCACGAAAGCGUGGGGAGCAAACAGGAUUAGAUACCCGGGUAGUCCCUGUCUCUUAUAC
rnacentral:rRNA from 1 species